rnacentral:tRNA from 1 species
GCGCCCGUAGCUCAGUUGGAUAGAGCAGCGGACUUCAACAGGAGCGUCCACGUGGCGACGCGUGGACUGCACGGUGCCGUAACGGGGAAUCCUGUGAAAUGGCAACCCCGUGGAAACUCAAGAGGACGACCUUGAGGCUCCGUAGAGACUGUACGCAUCGCGCCCCGGGCGUUUUCGGGACGAAGAGACAGUCCAGGCCACAAAUCCCGAGCGUCAUCGGGAGCAGCGAAAGCUGCAGUGGUAUGCUAAUCCGCAGGCCGCAGGUUCGAAUCCUGCCGGGCGUA